rnacentral:rRNA from 1 species
GGCUCAGAACGAACGCUGGCGGCAGGCUUAACACAUGCAAGUCGAGCGCCCCGCAAGGGGAGCGGCAGACGGGUGAGUAACGCGUGGGAAUCUACCCUUUUCUACGGAAUAACGCAUGGAAACGUGUGCUAAUACCGUAUGAGCCCUUCGGGGGAAAGAUUUAUCGGGAAAGGAUGAGCCCGCGUUGGAUUAGCUAGUUGGUGGGGUAAAGGCCUACCAAGGCGACGAUCCAUAGCUGGUCUGAGAGGAUGAUCAGCCACAUUGGGACUGAGACACGGCCCAAACUCCUACGGGAGGCAGCAGUGGGGAAUAUUGGACAAUGGGCGCAAGCCUGAUCCAGCCAUGCCGCGUGAGUG